CCUACGGGAGACUGCAGUGAGGAAUAUUGGUCAAUGGGAGAGAUCCUGAACCAGCCAAGCCGCGUGAGGGAAGACGGCCCUAUGGGUUGUAAACCUCUUUUGUCGGAGAACAAAACCAGGGACGAGUCCCGGACUGCGUGUAUCCGAAGAAAAAGCAUCGGCUAACUCCGUGCCAGCAGCCGCGGUAAUACGGAGGAUGCGAGCGUUAUCCGGAUUUGUUGGGUUUAAAGGGUGCGUAGGCGGUCUGUUAAGUCAGCGGUAAAAGUGCGGGGCUCAACCACGGCGAGCCGUUGAAACUGGCAGACUUGAGUUGGCGAGAAGUACGCGGAAUGCGCGGUGUAGCGGUGAAAUGCAUAGAUAUCGCGCAGAACUCCGAUUGCGAAGGCAGCGUACCGGCGCCAGACUGACGCUGAGGCACGAAAGCGUGGGGAUCGAACAGGAUUAGAUACCCCUGUAGUC
rnacentral:rRNA from 1 species